rnacentral:misc_RNA from 1 species
GAUGAAGAACGUAGCGAAAUGCGAUAAGUAAUGUGAAUUGCAGAAUUCAGUGAAUCAUCGAAUCUUUGAACGCACAUUGCGCCCGCCAGAAUACUGGCGGGCAUGCCUGCUCGAGCGUCAUUUCAACCCUCAAGCCCAGCUUGGUGUUGGGGAUCGGCACAGGCGCCCUCGGGCGCCCGCCGUCCCCUAAAUCUAGUGGCGGUCCCGCUGCAGCCUCCUCUGCGUAGUAGUUUUCUCCUCGCAAGGGCAGCUCGGUGGCGACCUCGCCGUAAAACCCCCAACUUCUGAAAGGUUGACCUCGAAUCAGGUAGGAAUACCCGCUGAACUUAAGCAUAUCAAUAAGCGGAGGA